rnacentral:rRNA from 1 species
AAGUGGAUAUGUUAAUAGCAUAUUCAUUUGACGUUAGCUGCAGAAGAAGCACCGGCUAACUCCGUGCCAGCAGCCGCGGUAAUACGGAGGGUGCGAGCGUUAAUCGGAAUUACGUGGGACGUAAAGCGCAUGCAGGUUGGUUUAGUUUAAGUCAGAUGUAGAAACGGCCCGGGGCUACUAACCGUACGGUAAUUGCUAUUUAGAAACGUGGACAAACUAGAGUACUGUAGAGGGGGUAGAAUUUCAGGUGUAGCGGUGAAAUGCGUAGAGAUCUGAAGGAAUACCGGUGGCGAAGGCGGCCCCCUGGACAGAUACUGACACUCAGAUGCGAAAGCGUGGGGAGCAAACAGGAUUAGAUACCCUGGUAG